rnacentral:rRNA from 1 species
UACGUAGGGACCAAGCGUUGUUCGGAUUUACUGGGCGUAAAGGGCGCGUAGGCGACGCGGUAAGUCACUUGUGAAAUCUCUGAGCUUAACUCAGAACGGCCAAGUGAUACUGCAGUGCUAGAGUGUGGAAGGGGCAAUCGGAAUUCUUGGUGUAGCGGUGAAAUGCGUAGAUAUCAAGAGGAACACCUGAGGUGAAGACGGGUUGCUGGGCCAACACUGACGCUGAGGCGCGAAAGCCAGGGGAGCAAACGGG